GACGAACGCUGGCGGCGUGCUUAACACAUGCAAGUCGAACGCUGAAGCUCAGCUUUUGUUGGGUGGAUGAGUGGCGAACGGGUGAGUAACACGUGAGUAACCUGCCUCCUUCUUUGGGAUAACGCCCGGAAACGGGUGCUAAUACUGGAUAUUCACUGGUCUUCGCAUGGGGGUUGGUGGAAAGGGUUUUUCUGGUGGGGGAUGGGCUCGCGGCCUAUCAGCUUGUUGGUGGGGUGAUGGCCUACCAAGGCUUUGACGGGUAGCCGGCCUGAGAGGGUGACCGGUCACAUUGGGACUGAGAUACGGCCCAGACUCCUACGGGAGGCAGCAGUGGGGAAUAUGGCACAAUGGGCGCAAGCCUGAUGCAGCGACGCCGCGUGAGGGAUGGAGGCCUUCGGGUUGUGAACCUCUUUCGCUCAUGGUCAAGCCGCAACAAUGGUUGUGGUGAGGGUAGUGGGGAAAGAAGCGCCGGCUAACUACGU
rnacentral:rRNA from 1 species